AAAUAUUUAAAAUUAAAUGGCGCAUGCGCGAAUCAACCUCUACCACUAUGGGGUUUUCAUUUCCUACCUCAGAUGCUACACUCUGGUAAGCUCAAAGUGAGAAAAUGCUACGAAAGGGAAACGACUUAUCGGAGAAGGCGGUCAGAAAAUUCCACCGGUGACUUCUUAAACUUGAUUCGUCCCCUUCUUCUUCCUCUUUCUUCUUCUUCUUCUUCUUCUGAACUAGGAAAUGGUGAAAUGAGAAUGUAGUGGCUUAACUCAAGCAGAUUGAAGCUUCAAUGACUUUUAGAAAAGAGGGCUUUGAGUAAGGUUGAACUUUUAAGUGACAUUGGCUUUGCACUUUGGAUUGAUGAUUGGCUUGAUAGCAUACUUGAAUGGGCUUGGCAAAUCAUGUUCAAAUUAGGGUUUAGCCAUGGUAGCUUUUUGAUGCAAGUUUGGAACAGGUUUGGCUUUGAGGAUGCAUGACCAAUGCACCUCACUUCCAAAUUCAGGCAUCAAGGAUUUGAUUUGGCACAAUUGGCCUGUGGUGUUGAGCCCUGGUUAUGUACAGUAGGUGACCUUGGGGAUUUAGGUUCAUGGUAACACACUUCAUGGACUAGCAUUGGAUUGAUGGUGUGUGCAGAUGGUGUUUUCAACUCAGGUUUCAGGUUUGUCAUGCAGCCAGUGGUUUCAAGUGUGUAUGGUAUGGACUCAAAACUUCACAUCCUGUACUGUUUGGUAUUUUUUACCUUGAUGAAUUGUCCUGCCGUGUCUUUCCAUGAUUUUUCAUUAAUGAUGCAGUUGUAUAAUAAUGUUACAGGUGUAUGCCGUCUAGAUGCUAGGUUGACAGUGUUGUAUGAUGACUCAUUGUCUUCAUGACUGAAUUUCUUGAAUGCAUUGGUUCUGCAGGACCAUGUUGUGCCUUUGCAUUUGGUUAGCUUCGUGACCUACUAUUUUGGUGUUGUGUGGCAUGAACUGUUAUGUCAUGGCUUUUGGACUUGCAGUAGGUAUUAAUGCCCAUGGCUGUCAUGUUCUAUAGCAGGUUUGGGCUGGUUGCAAGGCUUUGAUCCAAUUGAUGAACUUGCUUCCUCCAAUACUAAGAUAGAUGCAUUUCCUGUAUGCCUAACACAAUGACUGGAUUUCCUGCAGUUUGUUGACCUGAAGAUGUGAAUGGACUGCAUGCAGUUCUGCAGCAGGAUGGUUCCUUUGUUUCAGCCUUCAUGAGCCUUUCUCAUCAUCACAAGUUCAAGGCCAAAUGCAUAUGCUGGCAUGUCCAAAUGGUUAUGUAGGCUCAGAUGACUGUAUGAUUGCAGCUGGUAGCAGUUCACAGGUGCAUUUAUGCAGCAUGCUACCACUCAAAUUUUGGCUCAGAUAAGGCUUGGUGGUGAUGUCCACUGCAGGGUCCAAAGCAAGCUCCUCAUGCCCUUGUUCAAUAGCAACAAAGUAAGGUAAAUGAUGUUGCCAAGUGUUGGACGUCUUGCUACAGCAGUAGGGCCAGAAUUGUUGUACCAUGGAUUCUCCAAUGGUGAAAUCAUGCACUUCCUUGGCUUGGUGUAUGGUAUUUGGCUAGAGCAAUGAAGGGUAAUCAAGGGACAAUGUUGUGCUGUGUUAGAGCUCUUUGGAAUUGAUUUGGGACAGACUAAGGCCAAUGGUUAGUGAUUCAAAAUGUCAAACUAAACAUGGUGUGCACAAUGUCAUUUACUUGUAAUUGAAGCAAUCAAGAGAAAGCACCACCAAGCAUGAAGAUUGGAUGACACAUCAAAUCAAAAGGCUAGGUCAAGUUUGGAUGAUCAAGAGCAAGUGAGAGUUGACUUUGGUCAACGUUGACAAAAAAAUCAACUGUUGACCAAAGUCAACAAAAUGGUCAAAAUUCAGUUUUCUUUGUAUUUCCCUUGUAAAUGGACAUUGAAUUGAUGGUUAUGGGUAAUUUUUGGAU